AGCGAACGCUGGCGGCAGGCUUAACACAUGCAAGUCGAGCGGGCGUAGCAAUACGUCAGCGGCAGACGGGUGAGUAACGCGUGGGAACGUACCUUUUGGUUCGGAACAACCCAGGGAAACUUGGGCUAAUACCGGAUAAGCCCUUACGGGGAAAGAUUUAUCGCCGAAAGAUCGGCCCGCGUCUGAUUAGCUAGUUGGUGAGGUAACGGCUCACCAAGGCGACGAUCAGUAGCUGGUCUGAGAGGAUGAUCAGCCACAUUGGGACUGAGACACGGCCCAAACUCCUACGGGAGGCAGCAGUGGGGAAUAUUGGACAAUGGGCGCAAGCCUGAUCCAGCCAUGCCGCGUGAGUGAUGAAGGCCCUAGGUUGUAAAGCUCUUUUGUGCGGGAAGAUAAUGACGGUACCGCAAGAAUAAGCCCCGGCUAACUUCGUGCCAGCCGCCGCUGUAAC
rnacentral:rRNA from 1 species